CGCCCCCAGAUUCCUUACCCCUCAGAUCUAAAUAUCAGUCGGAGUGGCUUGCAAAGGAGGACCAGUGAAACAGAAGUGGAUUUGAAGUCCUUGGUGCCAGACAGGUUCGUUUCGAAGAAGA
rnacentral:snoRNA from 1 species